GAGACUUUCUGCAGAUAGGCUGUCGUCAUCUGUCUUCUGGGUCAAGCCCUCCGAGGCCUCCAGGCCAAGAUAUGAAGACAUACUCUCUGGAACGUUUGCCUGAAGCAAACAAGCAUAACCUCUGUGUUCGUCCUGCCGGAGAAAAACAAAGCAGCCUUUACAAUCGAAGCAUCACUUUCCACAUGGGACACAGGACUUCCUUCUUUCAGUAAAAGACGUGUUUAGGAUGUUAUUUUUUUACUAUUCAUGAAUAUAGGAAUUAAGAGAACAGCGGGUUGAUUUGGACAUAUGGUUGUGUCGUUAGAAGUCUACAAGCUCUGUCUUAAUGGAGAAACAUUUAAUUCUGUUCUUCUGUUAGUUGUGAAUGUAACCCUCGGGUCACACAACAAAGCAUAAUGGAGCGAGUCAUUAGGCAGUGCCUCCCCCCUGAUGAUGCUCAGAAUAUUAGCAGAAAUACAAAGCAGCAUGGAACAGCAUGGAAUUCUGAGUUCAUUUAGUAAUUAUGAAAAACAGAACAAACCCACUUGGCUAUAAAGUAUUUGAAGAUUUCUUUCUUUGAUUUUGUCCAUUUAAGACUAGUGUUCAGUAAAGUCAAAGUCUGAAUCUCUGUUCUGUUGUUGUCUUGCAGUAACUUGUCUGUAGAGGAGAGUUUAAUAAUCUGAGAAUGCACUACUAAACACACAGGCUCUUGUGUAGGUUAUGAAUACAAGAUCCCAACAUAUGUUAGUUAAUAUUUUGUAUUUUCUCAAAUGGUGGCUGCAGUUAAACUAAAUAAAAUUAUAUUUUAUUAACGUAAAAUGAAUAACGUAAAACAAAAUAGUCAAAGAACAAGGUGUAAAAUAAGAUAUGAACAGAUACGUUGAUGAAAUAGAAUAAAGUGUACAGGUAAAAAUGAUAAUUACAACAGGAUAUAAAAGAGCAGUAAAGUGAGGUGGAUAAAACAAUAAUAACACAUUUAAAAAUCGUAAGCUACAGUACACUGUGCAAAAAAUAUUAUUAAAGAAACCUAAAUAAAAAUGGAGAUCAGUGAGAAGACAACAUGACACAAAUGAAAGUUUGUAAAAGUAGGUUUUAAGAAGAGACUUAAAAGAUGUGACUGAGUCCACAGGCCUCGUCUCCUCAGUCGGUGGACGGUGAUGAAGCUGUUAUGAGAUCAGAAUUGUAACUUAUAAUAACUUAAAAUCUAUUCUAAAUCUGACUGGAGGUGAUGUGAUGUUACAACUGUCCACCUAACCAUUGUUAGUAUAAACACACACGUGCUGACCCACAUUUAAUACAUCAGAGUGCAGUGGUGAGCUGGUGAUG